ACAGCACGCCAGCGUAUCUAGUCUGCUACAUAUAUAUACGGUGGGAACGUCUGGUAGCGUUUCUGGCUGCUGUUGACCUUGUUUUUGGAGUAAAACACGGUGGAAGCUGAAUUAGUGAGGAUGACUCCUGCUCCUGUCAUCUCUAAGCUCCUCACACAUCUUUACCUGCACAUGAGGAAAAUCACUCCUGUAGAAUGCAGUGGUUCAUCAGAACCUCUGGGGAUGUCCUGUGGAUUCUGUGGAUCCUGUGGGUUGCAGGGUGGGUCCUACCUAGACCAGGCUGAUCCUGGACCAUCCCACAGAUGCUCCAUCAGAUGUGGAUGUGGGGAGUGUGGAACCCAGAUGUUCAGAGGGAGAUGAUGCCACAUCUGGUCCAGCUGAUGGAAGGUCUUGAAGUUCUCUGACUGGCCUCGACUGAAGAUGGUCGUCUCUCUGGAUUUAAGGUUCAGAUGCUCAGUAACAAACUCCACCAAUGAGCCAACAGGGAAGCUUUAGGUUUAUUAAAUGUUGCUAUGAAGGUUUCGCUGUUUUUCUUUGUGAAUGCAAUGUGCUCCAACUGAAACUUGAAUUAGAACUUAGAAGUAAAUCCUUCCAUCUGAAAGGAUUUAGUUGCAUUAAUAACCUCAUAACAUUCUAAUUUUUAUUCCAGUCUUGGUUGGAAAUAGAAUCUCUGUAUUGAUUCAGGUAAAAAGUGAACUUCACAGCAUGUUGGAGCAAAACAACCAGAUGAAAACUGUGAUGGUGUUGGAUUGUCAGACUGUAAUGUUGCAGCUCAAAGCAGCUUUUUUAUCUCAGUUCAUUCUGACAUUCAGCUAUGAAUCAACACAGCAGAUGGUGAUCCAUGCUGUGGAAAUCUCACAUCUCCUCAUUUAAUGGAGCUGCUUUGCACUUUUUACACUGUUUAUUCACCAACACUUUAUUUAAUAAAAGUCCCAUCUAGUUUUUAUGAGGAAUGUGAUGUUUUAAUUUCUCUGUGAAUAACUGCAGUCUAAUGCAACAGCUGGAGUUGUAACAUCUGUCCUGAUAUUGAUCAUGAAGUAUUGAUCAGAAUACUUAUGGUUAGCAGUCAUCCCUGAAGUUUUACAUUAAAAUCUUUACUUGUGAACUUUGGGAAGAAGCAGAAACUUUAGCGUUGCCAUGGAUACGUGAGUGUUAAUUUCUGUCCAUGUUUCAUUUUGGGAAAUUCAGUCCAGCAGAUGAGUUUGUUUUUACUGCCAGCUACCAUUCAGUCUGAGAUAUUAAGAAUAAAUAAAUGUGCAUCAUGUGGAAAUGAACAGAUUUUAUUUUUAUUUAUUCCUACAGCUGCUGCAUGUAAAGUUCCAAAAUGUGGAGGAAUUUAGUCUCACAAUCACAGACGAUAAGUAUUAUCUGAAAGUCGGGUUAUUGUUGUUUAUCAGCACAAUACAAAAAGAUUCAUGUUAGAAAUAUUCCAGUUAAGACUCUAGAAUGUCAUGAUUUAUGUAAAUUUACCUCAAUAAUAUGAAUGUUCAGGUUAAGAUUGUGCAGUGGUAUUUAUUAUGCAAGUUUAGCUUAUUAAAGUUUAUGACUGCACUAAAAUAUUAUUUAAAUUGACAUCAUUAUUAUAAUAUUUAGGGUCAGACCCUACAGUAUUGAGAUUAAGAAAUAAAAUAUUCUAUAAAAUGUAAAUACACUGAACUAAUCUGGAUAUAUUUACGUGAGACUCUGCAAUAUUAUUUGACACAAAUCUAUCUAAAGCAAAAUUUUAAUCAUUUUUACUCCAAACAUUUAAUGGACUGAUUUAAAUAUUAAAAUAACUCCUUUCUAAUCCUCUGCUGUACGUUCAAACCUGAGGCCUGAAAUAGAAACACACAAGUAUGUGAUUGAAGGAACUUCUGCAGAGUCCUGGUUCCAGAACAUGAUGAUAGAAUUAUAGACAAACUUUAACAAAAGCUGCCUGAGAGUUUACAGGUUUUUAUGUUAGAUUUCUUCAGUAAUUUAAUGAGAGUUAUCAGAAAAAAUCAAGUGUUCAUUUGAUGAACUUCAUUUCCUAAAACAUCCAGAAUUGGAGCUCAUAUCUUUGACAGCUGUAAAGUUUCUGCUCCUUCAAAGUUCACAACACAAUGAAUGAAUUCCUAAAACACUCUCAAUGCUGGAGAGCGUUUGUGAUGCUGAAGCAGUGACCAGUUUUUCUGUUUCUUCUCUUGAGAUGCACAAUGAGGGACGUCUGCAGCGACUGAGAAAGAGUCUCACCACAUCCUGACAUGAGGAAAAAGACUUUAUUGAAGACUACAAUGAGAAAAACUAUCAGACAGCAGACGGCUGCAUUCAAGGUGAGCUCUGAACAUUUGAUCUGGAACAGGAAUUCAAUCACAGCAGCAUGAGCUUCAUUUCAGUCUGUAGCUGCUGAAUUCAUGGAUGAAUCAUCUGGCACUAGAGAGGAAGACCAUCAAACAUCCGCGUCAGCUGAUGGAGGUCCAAGAGUCUCACCCAACAAACAACCUACAGAGUGAAGACCUCCAAUCUGAUUGGACGGCCUCCUAUUCAGCCACAUGUGUGAACAAAUGCCUCUAAGCUGAUUUGUUUUCUAAAAUAAAUCUAGUUUGAGUCCUAAUCUA